rnacentral:rRNA from 1 species
AGCGAACGCUGGCGGCAGGCCUAAAACAUGCAAGUCGAACGGAUCCUUCGGGAUUAGUGGCGGACGGGUAAGUAACACGUGGGAACGUGCCUUUUGGUUCGGAACAACUCAGGGAAACUUGAGCUAAUACCGAAUGUGCCCUUCGGGGGAAAGAUUUAUCGCCAUUAGAGCGGCCCGCGUCUGAUUAGCUUGUUGGUGAGGUAAAGGCUCACCAAGGCGACGAUCAGUAGCUGGUCUGAGAGGAUGAUCAGCCACACUGGGACUGAGACACGGCCCAGACUCCUACGGGAGGCAGCAGUUAGGAAUCUUGCGCAAUGGGGGAAACCCUGACGCAGCCAUGCCGCGUGAAUGAUGAAGGUCUUAGGAUUGUAAAAUUCUUUCAGCGGGGACGAUAAUGACGGUACCCGCAGAAGAAGCCCCGGCUAACUUCGUG